AUCAGUCUCUUCUGGAGCAGGCACUUUUUUGCAAUGUGAAGCGUGUAUCCAAGAACUCUUCCCAGCUAGUUUAACUGACGUUGCUGUAAUCAGGAGCACUUGGUAAGGACCAUCAAAUCUCGGUUCUAGGGUGUGUUUUCUGAGAAACUUCUUAACCAUAACCCAGUCACCCGGAAGCAGCUUGUGUGUACCUGUAUUCGACUCAGGAUCUGGAAUAGAAGAAAACACUUGGGCAUGUAUCUUGGUCAAGGCAUGUGAGAGGGCUGUCACAUAAUCUACCAUAGCAUCUGACUGGAUCUGAAGCUGUUGGGGAAAGUAACAACCUAACCUGGGUGCUGUACCAAACAAAAUCUCAUAAGGUGACAGGCUGUACUUUCCCCUAGGAGUGUACCUUACACUAAACAAUGCUAAUGGGAGACUCUCGGGCCAGGGCAUGUUAGUCUCUUGUGACAUUUUAAGCAUUCUGGCUUUCAAAGUGCCAUUCAUGCGCUCUACCUUGCCACUACUCUGUGGGUGAUAUGGUGUAUGGAAUGCAAGGGUCACCCCCAGUGCUGACCAGACUUCCCGUGUUAGCGAGGCAGUAAAGGAGGUUCCCUGGUCACUUUCAAUCACUUCUGGAACUCCAUAGCGGCAAACAAUUUCCGUCAGAAGGUACUUGGCUGUAGUUCUCGCGGUGAGGUUGGUCACUGGGAAGGCCUCUGGCCAUCCUGAAAACAUGUCCACUAUAACCAAUGCAUAUUCAUGAC
rnacentral:lncRNA from 1 species